UGUUCACAGACCCAGUGUGUUCUUCUCUGCACAUCGUUAUUUGGACUGGCCUCCACCACGUCCCUGAGCAGAAUAAACUGGAAAUUGCUUCUAUUUCUUAUUUGUGUUGAACUGCUUUUUCAAGUUUUGAUAAAGUCCUUCAGGAGUUAAAAUGAACUCAAAAUAAAUACUGCUGCAGCUCCCUGCUCCUGAAUAGAAGUAAUUUUAAAGCCUGGGUAAGAAAUCAUCAUUAACAAAGCAUAAYUCUGACCCAUAAACAACUGAUUUUCUUCGCAUCCAAGCUGAUCCAAUAUGUCAGGAAAGCCUUCAAGGGGAAGAGCAAGUCCUUCAGCAACUUGAAACAGAGACUACAGGCAACAGAAACCACCCCUGUGAAGAAGAAGACCCUGCAAAAGACCAUGUUCAGUGUCCAUGCUGCUCAGAGAGUUUUGAUGAGGCUGAAGAACAGAGCGAUGUGGAGUUUUGUGAAGAAGAAGCUGUCUGCCACACUGCAAGCUCCACCAGACCGGCUUUGGACAAGCACCCAUUGACUACAAGAAAAACUCCAACAUUAACACCUGCUGUGCUAUCAUUUCUAGAGACAGUACAAAAAGCUGGUAACACAGACAGUCAUGGACCAGGUAAAGGCCUAAUUUAGUCAYAAUUUUCUUAUAACAAUCCCCGAGGUAUCUGAGGUGGGGAAGGCAUUUUUAAAGCAGAUCCUAGG